AUGGCCGAAGGUCGGCAAAAUGAGUGCCAGCUUGCUGAUAUCCUGUGUCGGAGUGACGACCCAUCUCGGAUUGUGCCCAAUAGCCAAGGAGACUUCUUAGGCAGCACCAACGCUCUGUUUCAUAAGGUGGAUCGGAGUCCGCCCAGGUCUCGAAGUAUCCACCUCCGUUUCAGUGAAGUAUCACGAUUCAUGGACCAAUUUGUGAAGUUCUCUUCUUCUCAAAGUUUUGUAUUGAGGGCUCUUUUGAGGAUCGUCACCAGGACCCAGACAGCAGCUUCCAACUGUAAUUUGUUGGUAGUAUUCUCAGGGGUGGUUUGGAAGACCUCCGUAAGGUUCUUCUUCAUCAUUCCCGUUGCUUUAAUUAUUACUGGUACAAUUUUGGUGUUCUUCAGCUUCCAGGAUCUUUUGACUUCAGUUUUGAAAUCCUGGUAUUUGGCCAUUUUAUUUAUUUCUGCAUUGUUUAAACCAAAAUCGCUGGGUACUGAAAUCUCAAUUAGCAUUGUUGUCUUUUCAUUUUUUUUUGGUUCCUAAGUACUACAGUAUAUCCAGUCUCAAUGCUUUGUUUUCUCUGUUCGUGUUUGAUGGGAUCAUUAGGUUGUAUGUGAGCUUCCUUGUUUUCAAUGAUUGUUUUUGGUUAUUGUUUCCUUGAGUUUUCUGGAACUGGGAUAUUGAAAUUUUUGCAGACGUUCUGAUGGAUUACUCGACAUACCUUGUUGUGCCUCUUUGUGUACAGUUGCCAUGACAUGAGUUUUUUACAUCCCGAUAAGAGGUGACUCGUGUUUUCUGUUUCUCCCUUGCAGAAUCUACACUUGUCAGAUUGACUCAGUCCUGCCAUUUUAUUAAAGCCAUUGGUAUAUUUUCCCUGGUCUUGGGCGUGUAUAAUGAUUCAUUCUCAAUCCCAGUUGAGCUCACCUCUUCUUUGCCAUUCCAAUGAGUUUUCUUUGUCUAUGCCCAGUCUGUCCAACGAUUUUUUUUUUAAAUAUCUUCCUGCUCUCUUUUUGUUUUCCCAGUUGUCAGUGUAUAUCUGUUGAUAUUUACCCUUGCCGAAGGAGAGGGUAUUGCAUUUGGGUCAGUUUGUUUGUUUGUCUGUCUGUUUGUUUGUUUGUCUGCACAGAACCUUCGUAUUUUUCUCCGUAACCGCUUGUUCGAUUGAGAUGAAAUUUUCAGCAUAGGUGCGGCUCCUUGUGUAGAAUGUUUUAAUAAUUAUGACGUCAUCGGUUACGUGAUUCAGCAGCCAUAUAUAUUUUUCUUUUUUAAAAAAACCUUUAAAAAGCUUCUCUGAAAUGGCUGAACAGAUUAAUGUGAAACUUCACAAAUAUGACCGCCUAUCCAUGAGCUACAAAAGGAUCACACAUAUGAUGUCAUAGAUCACAUGGUUUGGCAGCAAUAUUGGAUUUACCCUGAAACCUAUAAAAAUACACCACUCAAAAGAAUUCCUGGUGAGGGUCUGCAAUCUCUGAUUGCUUUUUUUCUUAUUUGUUUGAAAUUUUUAUUUUGUCUUUUUUUGCAAUCAAUGGGGCUGUAUUCAUUGCUGUUUCGGUUUCAUGUGUGACAUCUUCUAUUCACACCUGUCUUUGGAAAUUUUUUGCAAUUGUGUUCGGGAUACCUUUUCUGGAUAGCUGUCUUCAUGUUUGCAUACAAAUUGUGUUUGGGAGUCUGUUGCACUUUUCACAUACUCAGUCAAUCCGACAGUUGUCAUUCUGUGUACUUGGUUGAGUUCCAUCAGGACACCAUCUCUUCCUUGUCUUAACAGGUACAUUCUCAGGAUGUAUUAAUUGGUUUUUGUCGUAUGUUUUGUGGAUAGUGAGGAGUUUCCUUGUUUUGAUAUCUAGUUUAUUGAUCGCUGAUUGUUGCCAGUUUAUUACUCCACAAAUGUGUUGGAACACUGGUACUGCAAGUUGGUUUAUGGCUUUGAUUUUGUUCCUUGGGGUGAGAUGUGUUUUCAGAAUCAACCUCGUUCUACGCAUGUAUUCCUUGGUAUUGUUUUGCGAAUUUGUUUGUGACAUAUAUGGUGGCCUUCUUCUACUUAGAUGUAUUUGUAUGUUGCUUCAUUGUCGAGCUCCUGUAUUGUUGUACCUAGGUCGAUUUUUAUGUUGUCCAUUUUUAUCGGUUUAACUUGUAUGAAUAUGCUCUUGGCACACAUAUCAAGGCCAAAUUACAUUUGAAUGUCAUCAGGGGACCAUUUCACUAAUUUUCGUCAUUCUGCCAAUUUUUUAUCUUCGCGGUUCGAAGAGCUUUAAAUCAUUCCCAUGCAGUACAUGUACAUGGAUGAUUUCAAGCUCUUUCCUGUUUCUUUGGAUGUUUUUUUGGGUUUUUUGCAUACACUGUCGAGGCUCGUAUGAGAGCUAACACACAGAAACGCACAACAAGGGGAGCAUGGGACAAGAGGGGUGGUAGAGGGAAAGAAAAAAACAGCAGGGAACGGAGACAUGAAGAGGUCUGUGGAAGGGUCAUUCCAUGUCAAAUCAUCAAAGAAUCUGCCGUCAUCUCUCAGAUUUUUGUAAAACUUUGGGAACCAAUUGGAACCCAUGAAAAACGGCAAGAACUCAAAUAUUUUUGCUAACAGCCACUUAAUUAGUGAGAUACAGACUAACGAACUUUGGACUAAUUAGCAUGACGUCGCAAAUUCAAAUGGCCAUAUCUCUAAAAGUAUAACACCUCGAGAGCUGGUUUUGGUGUCAUUUUAAAGGUAUUUUCAUGCCCUAUGAAUUUGUCUGGGCAACAUUUUCCUACCUCCAA
ensembl:lincRNA